UUCCCCGAUCUCCUCCGCCACCUCCCUCGCGAUCUCGCCUCACGGCCACAACUCGAUCGCCGAUGCUGACUGCUCCAGCGCUAACAGUUGAAGCACCUCCUGAUGAUCAGCUGAUGACAUAGUCGUCAGUGGCCGUCCUGAGAACCAUGGAUUUUCUUCUCCUCCAUCGCCACCCGAUUCGCCGAUGUCGGUCAUCACCCCUCUCUUGAUCUGCCGCCCAUCUCCUGAUCCGCCGCCACCAUGCCUUCCAAUUGCCGACGCUGGCUGUCGCCUACCUAUUCCUGGCCAUAAACACCAAGUACUCAUCGGGAGUGGAGCCGAGCACCCUGAUCCGACCCCUUCGGUUGAACCCUAGUUGUCAAUCUGACGCCAUUGAUCACUGGCAUUAGUCGUGGCAUAACUAACUGUCGUCACUCUUCCGGCCACAGGAAGGUAUGUUGUGUCAUUGAUUCUUGUUUCCCCUUUUCUUUUCUCGAUGUUAGACCCUAGCAGCUAGUGUUGCAUUUACCCAAGGCUGACAGCUACCACUCUUCUCCUUGAUUCAUCUCUACCACCGCCUGAUUGCCAUCGCCAAUCAUCACCCAUAACUUGCCUAGUCCUUGCUUCGGCCAUGAGAAGGAGGUUGCUCUUUGUCGGAGAGAAAUCUGUCGAUACAUAAUUGAGAUUGUGAUUUGUAGUUUGGCCAGCCACUAUAGCUCCGACCGUUGUUUUUCCAGUAGCAGCUUCAUCUAGUUUUGGCCACUAUUUCCAACAACAAGUCUCUCUUGCUAUAAGUCAACAGCGAUGCAUUCAGAUUAGGACUUUGAUUCGGGACAAGCGUCUCGACAUGGGAUUAUUUGGCAUGAUCGAUAGAUAAAGGCAGGUAGCAAGUAGUUUGAUUGUGGAGUCGCUUGAAGUAUCCUGUCUGCCGGUCCCAUGUCAUAUCGGAGAACAAUGUUUAUUUGUUUCUUUAUGCUUUUAUUGCAUUUCUUUGGAUUUAUAUUCUUAACAUUGUAAUAAUUUUAUUGUGGACUUGGUGUUUGGCCUUAUGACUACUUUUGAUAUUUUUGAUGGUUGUUGUGUAAA